rnacentral:rRNA from 1 species
UCCCUGAUGUUAGCGGCGGACGGGUGAGUAACACGUGGGUAACCUGCCUGUAAGACUGGGAUAACUCCGGGAAACCGGGGCUAAUACCGGAUGGUUGUCUGAACCGCAUGGUUCAGACAUAAAAGGUGGCUUCGGCUACCACUUACAGAUGGACCCGCGGCGCAUUAGCUAGUUGGUGAGGUAACGGCUCACCAAGGCGACGAUGCGUAGCCGACCUGAGAGGGUGAUCGGCCACACUGGGACUGAGACACGGCCCAGACUCCUACGGGAGGCAGCAGUAGGGAAUCUUCCGCAAUGGACGAAAGUCUGACGGAGCAACGCCGCGUGAGUGAUGAAGGUUUUCGGAUCGUAAAGCUCUGUUGUUAGGGAAGAACAAGUGCCGUUCAAAUAGGGCGGCACCUUGACGGUACCUAACCAGAAAGCCACGGCUAACUACGUGCCAGCAGCCGCGGUAAUACGUAGGUGGCAAGCGUUGUCCGGAAUUAUUGGGCGUAAAGGGCUCGCAGGCGGUUUCUUAAGUCUGAUGUGAAAGCCCCCGGCUCAACCGGGGAGGGUCAUUGGAAACUGGGGAACUUGAGUGCAGAAGAGGAGAGUGGAAUUCCACGUGUAGCGGUGAAAUGCGUAGAGAUGUGGAGGAACACCAGUGGCGAAGGCGACUCUCUGGUCUGUAACUGACGCUGAGGAGCGAAAGCGUGGGGAGCGAACAGGAUUAGAUACCCUGGUAGUCCACGCCGUAAACGAUGAGUGCUAAGUGUUAGGGGGUUUCCGCCCCUUAGUGCUGCAGCUAACGCAUUAAGCACUCCGCCUGGGGAGUACGGUCGCAAGACUGAAACUCAAAGGAAUUGACGGGGGCCCGCACAAGCGGUGGAGCAUGUGGUUUAAUUCGAAGCAACGCGAAGAACCUUACCAGGUCUUGACAUCCUCUGACAAUCCUAGAGAUAGGACGUCCCCUUCGGGGGCAGAGUGACAGGUGGUGCAUGGUUGUCGUCAGCUCGUGUCGUGAGAUGUUGGGUUAAGUCCCGCAACGAGCGCAACCCUUGAUCUUAGUUGCCAGCAUUCAGUUGGGCACUCUAAGGUGACUGCCGGUGACAAACCGGAGGAAGGUGGGGAUGACGUCAAAUCAUCAUGCCCCUUAUGACCUGGGCUACACACGUGCUACAAUGGACAGAACAAAGGGCAGCGAAACCGCGAGGUUAAGCCAAUCCCACAAAUCUGUUCUCAGUUCGGAUCGCAGUCUG